rnacentral:rRNA from 1 species
ACGCGCAUGUCUGCGAAAAGCUACGGGGAGUUGGCAAGAAGCCUUGAUCCGUAGGUAUCCGAAUGGGGGAACCCUAUGAAGUUAAAACUUCAUAACCUGCGAAUGAAUACAUAGUUCGUGAGGAGGAAAGCCUGUGAACUGAAACAUCUUAGUAACAGGACGAAAAGAAAAUAAACUAAUGAUUCCGAAAGUAGCGGCGAGCGAAAUCGGAAGAGCCUAAACCUUAUGUACGUGAUAGACUGCAAUUGUUGUGCAUUUGGGGUAGAGGGACUUUCGUUACACUUUGCAGAGUGUAAGAAGAGUUAAAAUUGUUUGAUAGAUGAAUACAUCUGGAAAGUUGAGCCAUAGACGGUGAUAGCCCGGUAAUUUAAAUUAAACAAUCUCUUGAAAGUAUCCCGAGUAAGGCGGGGCACGUGAAACCCUGUCUGAAUCUGCCGGGACCAUCCGGUAAGGCUAAAUACUAGCUAGUGACCGAUAGUGAACGAGUACAGUGAUGGAAAGGCGAAAAGAACAGUGAGAAGCUGAGUGAAAUAGAACCUGAAACCGUUAGCUUACAACGAGCUAGAGCACUAUUAAUAGUGUGAUAGCGUGCCUGUUGAAGAAUGAGCCGGCGAGUUAUCGUAUGUUGCGAGGUUAAGGAGUUGAUAUCCGGAGCCGAAGGGAAACCGAGUCUGAAUAGGGCGAAUUUAGUAACAUGGGAUAGACCCGAACCUUGGCGAUCUAACCAUGGUCAGAAUGAAGCGUGGGUGACACUACGUGGAGGUUCGAACCGACUGAUGUUGAAAAAUCAGCGGAUGAACUGUGGUUAGGGGUGAAAUGCCAAUCGAGCCAAGAGCUAGCUGGUUCUCUCCGAAAUGUAUUUAGGUACAGCGUCAGAUUUAUCUUAUGGGAGGUAGAGCACUGGUUUGAUGCGGGCGCAGAAACUGUGUACCAAAUCAUGUCAAACUCCGAAUGCCCAUAAAGUUACUAUCUGGCAGUGAGGCUAUGAGUGAUAAGAUCCAUGGCCAAGAGGGAAACAGCCCAGAACGCCAGUUAAGGUCCCUAAUAUAUGCUAAGUGGUUAAGGAGGUAGAGUUACUGAGACAACCAGGAGGUUGGCUUAGAAGCAGCCAUCCCUUGAAAGAGUGCGUAAUAGCUCACUGGUCAAGCGACUUUGCGCCGAAAAUACGACGGGGCUAAGCAUAUAACCGAAACUGCGGCAGGAUAAUUUAUUAUUCUGGGUAGGAGAGCGUUCUGUAGUAGGUAGAAGCUAGACUGAAAAGACUAGUGGACGAGACAGAAGUGAGAAUGUCGGCAUAAGUAGCGAAAACAUUGGUGAGAAUCCAAUGCACCGAAAACCUAAGGUUUCCCACGGCAGGCUCGUCCGCGUGGGGUUAGUCGGAACCUAAGACGAGGCCGAAAGGCGUAGUCGAUGGAUGACAGGUUGAUAUUCCUGUACUAUCUGGUAGUCGUUAUCAGAUGCGGAGGGACGGAGGAGGAUAAACACGCAGUCGACUGGAUGUGACUGUUUAAGCGUGUAGCUAGUUCAAGUAGGAAAAUCCGCUUGGGCGUUAUGACGUGAGGCGUUAUGAGGAGGGUCUACGGACCUGAAGGUGUUGAUUCCACACUUCCAAGAAAAGCUUCGCAUUGAGAAUAUCAGGUAGCCGUACCAUAAACCGCCACAGGUAGGUUGGUAGAAAAUACUAAGGUGCGCGAGAUAACUCUCGCUAAGGAACUCGGCAAAAUCACCUCGUAACUUCGGGAGAAGAGGUACUCUGGUAGCGUGAUUUACCCUUGCGGUAAUGAGCGUGAUAGAGUCGCAGUGAAUAGGCCCAAGCGACUGUUUACCAAAAACACAGGUCUCUGCUAAGCCGUAAGGCGAUGUAUAGGGGCUGACGCCUGCCCGGUGCUGGAAGGUUACGUGGAAGAGUUAGAAGCAAUUCAAAGCUCCGAAACUAAGCCCCAGUGAACGGCGGCCGUAACUAUAACGGUCCUAAGGUAGCGAAAUUCCUUGUCAGGUAAGUUCUGACCCGCACGAAUGGCGUAACGAUCUGGGCACUGUCUCAACAGCCCGCCCGGCGAAAUUGUAGUACUGGUGAAGAUGCCAGUUACCCGCAACUAGACGGAAAGACCCCAUGGAGCUUUACUGUAGCUUAAUACUGAGGAUUGGUAAAUCAUGUACAGGAUAGGUGGGAGACAUGGAAAC